AUGCGUGAGUUGCAGAAAAUAAAGAGGAAAGUCAGGAGGAAAUUGCCGCCCCCCAAGAAUGCCACCAACAUUCAAAUCAAAUCUAAAGCAAUCAUUCUUCCUGAGCAAAGUGUGGCAACAUAAAAGGCAAGAUUAGCUACAAGCAAGAAAGGAUUGAUCUUGGAUGAUCUUCUUAAGCAAACAUCAUACUACAAUUCGAAAGUUCGUCGAGAUGCAUUAACUGGCAUAAAGGAAUUAAUCCUCAAGCAUCCAGGAGAGCUGAAGGCUCACAAAUUUGCUCUGAUAGAAAAAUUGAGCCAACGAAUUGGUGAUGAAGAUCGCUUGGCUAAAG